rnacentral:tRNA from 1 species
UUCCUGAUGGCUCAGAUGGUAAAGAAUCUGCCUGCAACGCAGGAGACCCAGGUUCAAUCCCUGUGUCAGGAA